rnacentral:rRNA from 1 species
UACGUAGGGCGCAAGCGUUGUCCGGAAUUAUUGGGCGUAAAGAGCUCGUAGGCGGUUUGUCGCGUCUGUCGUGAAAGCUUGGGGCUUAACCCCAAGUCUGCGGUGGAUACGGGCAGACUAGAGGCAGGUAGGGGAGAACGGAAUUCCCGGUGUAGCGGUGAAAUGCGCAGAUAUCGGGAGGAACACCGGUGGCGAAGGCGGUUCUCUGGGCAUGAUCUGACGCUGAGGAGCGAAAGUGUGGGGAGCGAACAGG